AGUGAACGCUGGCGGUAGGCCUAACACAUGCAAGUCGAACGGCAGCACAGUAAUAGCUUGCUCUUACGGGUGGCGAGUGGCGUACGGGUGAGGAAUACAUCUGACUCUACUUUUUCGUGGGGGAUAACGUAGGGAAACUUACGCUAAUACCUCAUACUACCUCCGGGUGAAAGCAUGGGAUCUUCCGACCUUGCGCGAUUGAAUGAGCCGAUGUCGGAUUAGCUAGUUGGCGGGGUAGAGGCCCACCAAGGCGGCGAUACGUAGCGGGUCUGAGAGGAUGAACAGGCAGACGGGAACUGAGAAAGGGUCCAGACACCGAGGGGAGGCAGCAGUGGGGAAUAUUGGACGAGGGGGGAAAGCCUGAUACAGCCAUACCGCGGGAGUGAAGAAGGAGUGCGGGUUGGAAAGCCAUUUUGUAGGGAGAGAAAAGCAGCAGGUUAAGAACCCGCGGUACUGACGGUACCCAAAGAAUAAGCACCGGCUAACUUCGUG
rnacentral:rRNA from 1 species